GGGAUCGUGGUCUAGCUUGGUAUGAUUCCAGUCUGGGGGGCUGGAGGUCGCAGGUUCAAUUCCUGCCGGUCCCA
rnacentral:tRNA from 1 species